rnacentral:rRNA from 1 species
GAUGAACGCUGGCGGCGUGGAUAAGGCAUGCAAGUCGAACGAUCCAUGUAUUUAUAUAUGGAGAGUGGCAAACGGGGUAGUAAUGGAUAGGAACGUACCCGGGAGUCAUGAAUAACUGCAGGAAACUGUAGCUAAUACAUGAUAUCUCUACGGAGGAAGGAUUUAUCGCUUUCGGAACGGCCUAUUUGGUAUCAGCUAGUUGGUAAGGUAAUGGCUUACCAAGGCAGUGACGCCUAGGGGAGGUGAGAGCCUGGCCCCCACCAUUGGAACUGCGACACGGUCCAAACUCCUACGGGAGGCUGCAGUCGAGAAUCUUCCGCAAUGCACGAAAGUGUGACGGAGCGACGCCGCGUGAUGGAUGAAGUAUUUCGGUAUGUAAACAUCUUUUAUAUGUGAAGAAGUAUAUUGACAUUAGCAUAUGAAUAAGGGGUUCCUAAACUCGUGCCAGCAGGAGCGGUAAUACGAGUACCCCGAGCGUUAUCCGGAAUUAUUGGGCGUAAAGGGUCCGUAGGUGGUUUUGUUAGUCGGUCGUUAAAGACCCAAGCUCAACUUGGGGACGGCGACCGAAACGGCAUAACUUGAGGGUGUGAGAGGCAAGUAGAACUCAUGGUGUAGGGGUGAAAUCCGUUGAUAUCAUGGGGAAUACCAAAAGCGAAGGCAGCUUGCUGGCACAUUCCUGACACUGAGGGACGAAACCCUGGGUAGCGAAUGGGAUUAGAUACCCCAGUAGUCCAGGGCCUAAACGAUCACCACUAGUUUUCGGGAGUAUCGACCCUUUCGGAGACGAAGCUAACGCGUUAAGUGGUGCGCCUGGGAAGUACGAGCGCAAGCUUAAAACUCAAAGGAAUAGACGGGGACUUGCACAAGCGGUGGAUCAUGUGGUUUAAUUCGAUGAUAAACGAAGAACCUCACCAAGGCUAGACACUUUAGUCAGGUUACGCACUGGAAACAGAUGGUAAAUAUUGUGCUAAAGCAGGUGUUGCAUGGCCGUCGUCAGUUCGUGGUUUGAAUUGUUCCCUUAAGUGGGGUAACGAACGAAACCCUCGUCGUGUGUUUUAUAUGUCACGCGAGACUGCCCCCUCUUUGUAUAUAAUUACAAAUUGUAUUCAAAGAGGGGGGAGGAAGGAGAGGAUGACGCCAGGUCAGCAUGACCCUUGAUGCCUUGGGCUACACACGUGAUACAAUGGGUAGGACAACGGGCUGCGACGGAGUAAUCCUGAGCCAAUCCUUCAAACCUAUCCUCAGUUCGGAUAGAGGGCUGCAACUCGCCCUCUUGAAGUCGGAAUCGCUAGUAAUCGCGGGUCAGCUAUACCGCGGUGAAUACGUCCUCAAGUCU